AUUGAACGCUGGCGGCGUGCCUAAUCCAUGCAAGUAGGACGCCGUUGCGAACGGGUGAGUAACGCGUAGGUACCUGCCUAUUAGCGGGGGAUAACUAUUGGAAACGAUAGCUACUACCGCAUACUAGUAGAUGGACCUGCGUUGUAUUAGCUAGUAGGUAGGGUAAUGGCCUACCUCGGCGACGAGACAUAGCCGGCCUGGGAGGGGGAUCGGCCACACUGGGACUGAGACACGGCCCAGACUCCUACGGGAGGCAGCAGUAGGGAAUCGUCGGCAAUGGGGGGAACCCUGACCGAGCAACGCCGCGUGAGUGAAGAAGGUUUUCGGAUCGGAAAGCGCUGUUGUUAAGGAAGCGGUACUUAGCCAGAAAGGGACGGCUAACUACGUGCCAGCAGCCGCGGUAAUAC
rnacentral:rRNA from 1 species